rnacentral:rRNA from 1 species
AGUAAUAUAGUACGGAACCGUUACCUUCGUAGGUGGGGAUAACGUAGACGAAAGUUACGCUAAUACCGCAUAUUCUGUGAGCAGGAAAGCAGGGGAUCGCAAGACCUUGCGCUGAUUGAGCGGCCGAUAUCAGAUUAGCUAGUUGGUGAGGUAAAGGCUCACCAAGGCGACGAUCUGUAGCGGGUCUGAGAGGAUGAUCCGCCACACUGGAACUGAGACACGGUCCAGACUCCUACGGGAGGCAGCAGUGGGGAAUUUUAGACAAUGGGCGCAAGCCUGAUCCAGCCAUGCCGCGUGAGUGAAGAAGGCCUUCGGGUUGUAAAGCUCUUUCGGCCGGGAAGAAAUCGCACGGGUUAAUACCCUGUGUGGAUGACGGUACCGGAAUAAGAAGCACCGGCUAACUACGUG